rnacentral:rRNA from 1 species
GACGAACGCUGGCGGCGUGCCUAAUACAUGCAAGUAGAACGCUGAAGGAGGAGCUUGCUUCUCUGGAUGAGUUGCGAACGGGUGAGUAACGCGUAGGUAACCUGCCUGGUAGCGGGGGAUAACUAUUGGAAACGAUAGCUAAUACCGCAUAAGAGUAGAUGUCGCAUGACAUUUGCUUAAAAGGUGCAAUUGCAUCACUACCAGAUGGACCUGCGUUGUAUUAGCUAGUUGGUGAGGUAACGGCUCACCAAGGCAACGAUACAUAGCCGACCUGAGGGGGUGAUCGGCCACACUGGGACUGAGACACGGCCCAGACUCCUACGGGAGGCAGCAGUAGGGAAUCUUCGGCAAUGGACGGAAGUCUGACCGAGCACCGCCGCGUGAGUGAAGAAGGUUUUCGGAUCGUAAAGCUCUGUUGUAAGAGAAGAACGAGUGUGAGAGUGGAAAGUUCACACUGUGACGGUAUCUUACCAGAAAGGGACGGCUAACUACGUG